rnacentral:misc_RNA from 1 species
UCGUAACAAGGUUUCCGUAGGUGAACCUGCGGAAGGAUCAUUACUGAUUUGCUUAAUUGCACCACAUGUGUUUUUCUUUGAAACAAACUUGCUUUGGCGGUGGGCCCAGCCUGCCGCCAGAGGUCUAAACUUACAACCAAUUUUUUAUCAACUUGUCACACCAGAUUAUUACUAAUAGUCAAAACUUUCAACAACGGAUCUCUUGGUUCUCGCAUCGAUGAAGAACGCAGCGAAAUGCGAUACGUAAUAUGAAUUGCAGAUAUUCGUGAAUCAUCGAAUCUUUGAACGCACAUUGCGCCCUCUGGUAUUCCGGAGGGCAUGCCUGUUUGAGCGUCGUUUCUCCCUCAAACCGCUGGGUUUGGUGUUGAGCAAUACGACUUGGGUUUGCUUGAAAGACGGUAGUGGUAAGGCGGGAUCGCUUUGACAAUGGCUUAGGUCUAACCAAAAACAUUGCUUGCGGCGGUAACGUCUACCACGUAUAUCUUCAAACUUUGACCUCAAAUCAGGUAGGACUACCCGCUGAACCUAAGCAUAUC